UGGAAAAGCCAUUUGUGGGACUCCAAGCUGGAAGGAAAAGGCAGAGUUGGAGAGAGCUGUAGCGGGAGACAGAGAAAGGGCAGGGUCUCUCCGGAUGCUCCAAGACAGUAAUCACUAGCAGGAUUGGAAAUGUCACUGACAUGCUGCUUAGGAAGUGAUUUGAAUAGAGGAGGAUGGAAUAAAAUGGAGAUCGUGUUUCUUUCUAAACACAGGAGGAAUAGUGAUGGGGGAGACACAGUACAAAGGCAGAGGACCAGAGCUCAGGGAUCUCAGUCAACAUCAAGUGUGUCCUGGCGAGAAAGACUGAAAUCCUGCUAAUAACAUUUCUUCAAAUCUCUCUUUAGUCAGGAACUAUGCUAAGUACUUUAUAUGUAGUAACUAGCACUCUGUGUCUCAUCUAAGAUUCAACUCAACUUUUACAUCACCAGUGAGAUCUUGGCCAAUUGUCCUAAGCAAUAGGCAAGAGAAAUUUUAAGUGGCCAGAGCUGACGUGGAGGAGAUAUGGGGCAAGAGCUG